rnacentral:lncRNA from 1 species
UUAAAUUUAUCGAUUUAUAUUAUUUUUGGAGAGAAAGGAAAACACAAGGCCUUCCAGUAUAAUCAAGUAAUUCGUGUUGUCCAUCUCCAUUGAAGGCGGUGACCCCGUUACUAUAACAUGUCACAGAACUAAGGUGUAACAAGUUAUACUAACAAGGUCAUUGUCUUCAGUGGAGAUGUAAAACACAAAUUACUUGAUUAUACUGGAAGACCCUUGCGUUUUCUUUCAUUACACUUCUGUAUGGGUUUUAUAAAGCAUACUCCUUUGACGAGGAGAAACUCGUU